CGGGAAACCGGAGCUAAUACCGGAUAAGAUAUCGAACCGCAUGGUUCGAUAGUGAAAGAUGGUUUUGCUAUCACUUAUAGAUGGACCCGCGCCGUAUUAGCUAGUUGGUGAGGUAACGGCUCACCAAGGCAACGAUACGUAGCCGACCUGAGAGGGUGAUCGGCCACACUGGAACUGAGCAGGGUCCAGACUCCUACGGGAGGCAGCAGCG
rnacentral:rRNA from 1 species